rnacentral:tRNA from 1 species
GGGCCCGUGGCCUAGCUGGGAUCAGGGCGUCGAACAGGCGAGCCGAAGAUCCGGGGUUCGAAUCCCCGCGGGCCCGCCA